GCUUUCAACAUCCCCGUUCCGGGGCGCGGUUUCCCGAACAGGCAAGCUUCGCGGCCGGAACUGAAGGC
rnacentral:sRNA from 12 species